rnacentral:piRNA from 1 species
UAAAUCUCAACAGGGGUGGUGGACAUAU